rnacentral:misc_RNA from 1 species
CAACCCUCAAGCUCUGCUUGGUAUUGGGUGCCACCUAACAUGGUGCAUCUUAAAAUCAGUGGCAGCGCCAUCUGGCUUUCAAGUGUAGUAAUAUUUCUUGCUUUGGAAGUUUGGAAGUGUGCUUGCCAACAACCCUCUAAUCUAUCAAA